UGGGGAAUAUUGCGCAAAGGGCGAAAGCCUGACGCAGCGACGCCGCGUGAGGGAUGAAGGUUUUCGGAUCGUAAACCUCUGUCAGAAGGGAAGAAACCGCACUGUGCUAAUCAGCAGUGCCUUGACGGUACCUUCAAAGGAAGCACCGGCUAACUCCGUGCCAGCAGCCGCGGUAAUACGGAGGGUGCAAGCGUUAAUCGGAAUUACUGGGCGUAAAGCGCACGUAGGCUGCUUUGUAAGUCAGGGGUGAAAUCCCACGGCUCAACCGUGGAACUGCCUUUGAUACUGCUUAGCUUGAAUCCGGGAGAGGGUGGCGGAAUUCCAGGUGUAGGAGUGAAAUCCGUAGAUAUCUGGAGGAACAUCAGUGGCGAAGGCGGCCACCUGGACCGGUAUUGACGCUGAGGUGCGAAAGCGUGGGGAGCAAACAGG
rnacentral:rRNA from 1 species